GCGUGCAGGAAGACGGCCCUAUGGGUUGUAAACUGCUUUUAUACAGGAAGAAACACUCGGACGUGUCCGAGCUUGACGGUACUGUAAGAAUAAGGAUCGGCUAACUCCGUGCCAGCAGCCGCGGUAAUACGGAGGAUCCAAGCGUUACCCGGAAUCAUUGGGUUUAAAGGGUCCGUAGGUGGAUAAUUAAGUCAGAGGUGAAAUCCUGCCGCUCAACGGUAGAAUUGCCUUUGAUACUGGUUAUCUUGAAUCAAUGUGAAGUGGUUAGAAUAUGUAGUGUAGCGGUGAAAUGCAUAGAUAUUACAUAGAAUACCAAUUGCGAAGGCAGAUCACUAACAUUGUAUUGACGCUGAUGGACGAAAGCGUGGGGAGCGAACAGGAUUAGAUACCCUGGUAGUCCACGCCGUAAACGAUGGAUACUAGCUGUUCGACUUCGGUUGAGUGGCUAAGCGAAAGUGAUAAGUAUCCCACCUGGGGAGUACGUUCGCAAAGAAU
rnacentral:rRNA from 1 species